AGUGAACGCUGGCGGUAGGCCUAACACAUGCAAGUCGAACGGCAGCACAGUAAUAGCUUGCUCUUACGGGUGGCGAGUGGCGGACGGGUGAGGAAUACAUCGGAAUCUACUUUUUCGUGGGGGAUAACGUAGGGAAACUUACGCUAAUACCGCAUACGACCUACGGGUGAAAGCAGGGGAUCUUCGGACCUUGCGCGAUUGAAUGAGCCGAUGUCGGAUUAGCUAGUUGGCGGGGUAAAGGCCCACCAAGGCUACGAUCCGUAGCUGGUCUGAGAGGAUGAUCAGCGACACUGGAAGUGAGACACGGACAAGACUACUACGGGAGGCAGCAGUGGGGAAUAUUGGACAAUGGGCGCAAGCAUGAUCCAGCAAUACCGCGUGGGUGAAGAAGGACUUCGGGUUGUAAAGCCCUUUUGUUGGGAAAGAAAAGCAGCAGGUUAAUACCCCGCUGUUCUGACGGUACCCAAAGAAUAAGCACCGGCUAACUUCGUG
rnacentral:rRNA from 1 species